rnacentral:rRNA from 1 species
GACGAACGCUGGCGGCGUGCUUAACACAUGCAAGUCGAACGGAAAGGCCCUGCUUUUGUGGGGUGCUCGAGUGGCGAACGGGUGAGUAACACGUGAGUAACCUGCCCUUGACUUUGGGAUAACUUCAGGAAACUGGGGCUAAUACCGGAUAGGAGCUCCUGCUGCAUGGUGGGGGUUGGAAAGUUUCGGCGGUUGGGGAUGGACUCGCGGCUUGUCAGCUUGUUGGUGGGGUAGUGGCUUACCAAGGCUUUGACGGGUAGCCGGCCUGAGAGGGUGGCCGGCCACAUUGGGACUGAGAUACGGCCCAGACUCCUACGGGAGGCAGCAGUGGGGAAUAUUGCACAAUGGGCGGAAGCCUGAUGCAGCAACGCCGCGUGCGGGAUGACGGCCUUCGGGUUGUAAACCGCUUUCGCCUGUGACGAAGCGUGAGUGACGGUAAUGGGUAAAGAAGCACCGGCUAACUACGUG